ACCACUCCUGGUGUAGUGGAUAUGGUAUCCGCCUUGCGAUCGGGAGGUCAUGGGUUCGAUCCCCAAUGUGGUA
rnacentral:tRNA from 1 species